rnacentral:rRNA from 1 species
CCUACGGGAGGCAGCAGUGGGGAAUAUUGCACAAUGGGGGGAACCCUGAUGCAGCGACGCCGCGUGAGUGAAGAAGUAUUUCGGUAUGUAAAGCUCUAUCAGCAGGGAAGAAAAUGACGGUACCUGACUAAGAAGCCCCGGCUAACUACGUGCCAGCAGCCGCGGUAAUACGUAGGGGGCAAGCGUUAUCCGGAUUUACUGGGUGUAAAGGGAGCGUAGACGGUGCAGCAAGUCUGAUGUGAAAGGCCGGGGCUCAACCCCGGGACUGCAUUGGAAACUGUUGAACUGGAGUACAGGAGAGGGAAGUGGAAUGCGUGGUGUAGCGGUGAAAUGCGUAGAUAUGAGGAGGAACGCCGAUGGCGAAGGCAGCUUACUGGCGAUCAACUGACGCUGAGACACGAAAGCGUGGGGAGCGAACAGGAUUAGAUACCCGGGUAGUC